GGGGAUGUAUGGUUUUGACAGCAAGAUGAAUUGUCAUGUAAGCAUGUCGAGCCUCGCAGUGACGCUCGUUAAUCUUGACUGCAAAAAAUUAAUUGGCGAAAACAACUACGCUCUCGCUGCCUGAUUGAAGCACAGUAGAUCACUGGCUUAAUCCGCUCACAAGGUGGGCGGACGAGACAUCCCGCAGGUGGAGAUUCCUGAUUCCGGCCUGAGCCCGGGGUGCUAAGCAAUUUCAGGAUAGCCUUGUCGGCGCUCCGACAGCAAGGCGAAGCUUUAGGAGAUAAUCCCUUGCGCGGCACGAAAACCAACAGCGGAAUAAGCAUGUAGAAACCAUGGGGGUUCCUUGUUUGGACGAGGGUUCGACUCCCUCCAUCUCCACU
rnacentral:tmRNA from 1 species